CUCUCUUUACCUCUCCCCACCUUCCCGUUAGCUCUUCGAAUAAAAUAUAAAUAACUUAGUUCCAGUAAUGAGAAGCUUACCAAAACAAUGACAGUCACUAACUAAGUAACUACCCACUCAACAUUCACUACCAAAAUUCUCACCACGCAGUCUUCUCUUCUACUUACAGAACCCAACCAAUCUGGGUCACAAAGGCAAGGAAAACCAACGGCGACCAAAGCAGAAACAGAAACGACGACCAAAGCAGAAACAAAAACGACAAGAACAGCCACAACGACGAUGACGAUAAGGAGGACCACGCCCACUCCUCAAACAUCCCGGCUGACGACGCAGAGGACCCUGGGAUUAUCGCCGCUCAAACACAUGAAGCAGUCAGUGUCGAGACCCCAGUUGAAAAGCCAGGAGUCGAUCAGUGCACAAGUCUCAUAAAACAAAGCCUCAGGACGGGUGACACCUGCCAGACUCCCCUGUGGCCCAGACGGUGAUCACCCAGGUCCUUGGGGGUCUCUAGUUCCAGUCUGAGAGCGGGGGUGGGUGGGGGGACACGCGCUGUGAGAAACAACACAUGUGAUUAGGUAGCAGGGAGGAACUUUCUCAACACACACGCACACUGGAUAGACACACACAAAUUGGAAAUAUACAAUCGAACCUACUCUAACGACCACUUGCAUAAGACAAUCACUUGUACAGUAACUUCCCAUUACACCCUCUUGAAUUAAAAAAGUAAAUUUUACAUUAUAUUUAUGACACUGAAAGAUAUCCACCCAUCUAGGACGACCAGUUUUCUCCUUGACGAUAGGUGGCCGUCUAAAACGAUACCGACUGUACUCACACAAACACUGGGUGUACUCACACAAACACUGGGUGUACUCACACAAACACUGGGCGUACUCACACAAACACUGGGCGUACUCACAGUAACUUACACAAACACUGGGUGUACUCACACAAACUGAAACACUGGGUGUACUCACACAAACACUGGGUACACCUACACACUACUACAUGAAACAAGAGUUUGAUGUGAGAAAGGAGAAGAUAAUGAAGGCUCAUUAAUUAAGGCUUGAUAACGGUAAUUUAUUGCUGAGGGGAAAAAAGCAAGAUAGACAAAGGGACAAAAAUCCGACACAAAAAAAAAAGACCUUCACUAUUACAUUAGCUGUGUCCUCUAACCACCCGCAACGACAAUGCGGAGGGCAAACAGGAAGCUGAGAUUGUUUCAGAAUGCUAUCAGGUCUGCUGGGUAAAUAACAUGAUUGUAAAGUGCAUAGAGCUUACUGUUGAGAGGGAAUUACUGUAAUACUAAAGCUAUUUAUCAUUGUUAUACAAGAAGCAAACCUAAAACCAACCCAUAUAACUAAAUCUUCACGGAUAGGGUUAUUGAAAAGACCCUGGAACAAGCAGGAAGUUAAUUAUGUGUAUUGUUUUCGGUGGGUCCCAACACAAUAGAAAAACGGAAAAGAAGUAGAAAAAGGAGUAAGCUAUAUCAGAACAGCAAGUAACUGCCUGCUCCCAAGCAGGGGACUUAGUUUUGGAUAAAGAUAAGCCAUUUAGAGAUGGGGGACUGGAUCGAUAACAACAACAGAGAUGGGGGAAAAUGCAGGAUGGACAUUGACAUAGACAGCAGAGGGAAGGAAAAGAAAUACAAUUUAUUACCGGUGGCAACCCUCCCCAACAUCUGUCUGCAGAAGGGGGAAAUUUCUCAAAUGUUGAAAACGAAACAAAAAUCUAUAGGAACAUGCAAGCAUAGAGUAAUGUUUCUUCUUUGAAUUCCAGUUUUAUUUGUUCCUCACACCAGUCUUAUUAUACCUGUAUCCUUCCUCUGUCAAAGGCAGGGUAAAGCUAUUGUAAGUAACUGAUCUCAAUAACAAGCAUCAAAGCGGUUUUUUUGUUUUUCUCCUCAAUUUUUAGUUUUAGUUUCAGUAAAGAAAAGCAUAUCUAUCAACACAAAAAAACAGUACAAGGAUAAUUUUUUGCAGGGAAAAUGCAAUAUGGAAACAAAAGACAGAAAGAAACCUUGGAGGACCUAUCAGUUACACCCUCCAAUCACCUGUAGUCUAUAUACAAGAACAUAAGAUGUCCUCAGUGAUAUCGCUUGACUGUGCAUCUUAAUGCAAGUGUCUGUGGUGAAAUGUGAAAAGGCUCCUACCAGUGCACUAACAAGAGCUGUGUCCGAAUCCCAAGAGUGAAAAUCAUUUUACUGAACAUUUCCAUCUGUCUGUUAAUGCUGCAUCCCAGAUUGGCCUCCCCCCUCCCAAGAGAUUAAAAUUGUGUGAAUGGGGUGUAAAACAUUUACUUUUAUUCCCUUGAACUGUUCGCAACUAUACUAUGACAAACGUCUGCUUGCUUGAACGCUUCACAAAUAAAUACAA